rnacentral:rRNA from 1 species
GACAGCAGCCGCCGCGGUAAAACGUAGGUGGCGAGCGUUGUCCGGAAUUAUUGGGCGUAAAGGGAGCGCAGGCGGACAUAUAAGUCCAUCUUAAAAAUGCGGGGCUCAACCCCGUGAGGGGAUGGAAACUGUAUGCCUUGAGUGCAGGAGAGGAAAGCGGAAUUCCCAGUGUAGCGGUGAAAUGCGUAGAUAUUGGGAGGAACACCAGUGGCGAAGGCGGCUUUCUGGACUGUAACUGACGCUGAGGCUCGAGAGCCAGGGGAGCGAACGGGAUUAGAUACCCCUGUAGUCCCUGUCUCUUAUACA